UACGUAGGGUGCAAGCGUUAAUCGGAAUUACUGGGCGUAAAGCGUGCGCAGGCGGUUCGCUAAGACAGAUGUGAAAUCCCCGGGCUUAACCUGGGAACUGCAUUUGUGACUGGCGGGCUAGAGUAUGGCAGAGGGGGGUAGAAUUCCACGUGUAGCAGUGAAAUGCGUAGAGAUGUGGAGGAAUACCGAUGGCGAAGGCAGCCCCCUGGGACAUACUGACGCUCAUGCACGAAAGCGUGGGGAGCAAACAGGAUAGAA
rnacentral:rRNA from 1 species